rnacentral:rRNA from 1 species
UACGAAGGGGGCUAGCGUUGCUCGGAAUCACUGGGCGUAAAGCGCACGUAGGCGGACUGUUAAGUCGGGGGUGAAAUCCUGGGGCUCAACCUCAGAAUUGCCUCCGAUACUGGCAGUCUCGAGUGCGGGAGAGGUGAGUGGAAUUCCCAGUGUAGAGGUGAAAUUCGUUGAUAUUGGGAAGAACACCAGUGGCGAAGGCGGCUCACUGGCCCGUAACUGACGCUGAGGUGCGAAAGCGUGGGGAGCAAACAGG